rnacentral:rRNA from 1 species
AUCUUCCGCAAUGGACGAAAGUCUGACGGAGCAACGCCGCGUGAGUGAUGAAGGCUUUCGGGUCGUAAAACUCUGUUGUUAGGGAAGAACAAGUACAAGAGUAACUGCUUGUACCUUGACGGUACCUAACCAGAAAGCCACGGCUAACUACGUGCCAGCAGCCGCGGUAAUACGUAGGUGGCAAGCGUUAUCCGGAAUUAUUGGGCGUAAAGCGCGCGCAGGCGGUUUCUUAAGUCUGAUGUGAAAGCCCACGGCUCAACCGUGGAGGGUCAUUGGAAACUGGGGAACUUGAGUGCAGAAGAGAAAAGCGGAAUUCCACGUGUAGCGGUGAAAUGCGUAGAGAUGUGGAGGAACACCAGUGGCGAAGGCGGCUUUUUGGUCUGUAACUGACGCUGAGGCGCGAAAGCGUGGGGAGCAAACAGGAUUAGAUACCCUGGUAGUCCACGCCGUAAACGAUGAGUGCUAAGUGUUAGAGGGUUUCCGCCCUUUAGUGCUGCAGCUAACGCAUUAAGC